rnacentral:rRNA from 1 species
AUUGAACGCUGGCGGCAUGCCUAACACAUGCAAGUCGAACGGUAGCAGGCCUUCGGGCGCUGACGAGUGGCGGACGGGUGAGUAAUACAUAGGAAUCUGCCUUUUAGUGGGGAGUAACCGACGAAUACCGGCGUAAUACCGCAUACGCACUACGGUGGAAAGACAGGGGAGUCGUAAGACCUUGCGCUAAUAGAUGAGCCUAUGUCGGAUUAGCUUGUUGGUAGGGUAAGUGGCCUACCAAGGCGACGAUCCGUAGCUGGUCUGAGAGGACGACCAG